UUUGGCUGUGAGGGCUCAGAAGGGCUAGUUGAUCCCAAGGUUCAGAGGUCAAAGCAGCCUAACGGGAGCCCAUGGUACCUGACUGGGAGAGAUGCUGAGCAACUGUUCUCUUCAUCUCUGAGUUAGUGUCCCUCUCUCAGGACAGCAGCAGCAGCAGUUUCUCCAUCACUGAUUGGCCCCUCUGCCUCUCCUUAUGUGACUGAAAUGUUUGAUGGUAGUCCAAUAGAU
rnacentral:lncRNA from 1 species